CAGAAAAAGAAAGAGAAAGAAAAAGCUCAGGAGUGCAGCAGCAGACGCCUCACAGAUAAGAUGUUAUGAUCAAGACUGGGCUGUACACUCUUUAAAUUCUGCUCAGCACUCAGACCUUAGCCCUGCUGUUGUGAGUCAGUCAUGGCAGUGAAUCAAGGAUGAGAGAACUCCAAGUGUCCUUACAAGUAAAUGCUCUGACAUCAGCCCCGCUGUGGAGAUUUUUAUUGUCUGUGUUACCCUGCCAAGGUCAACUGUCUAAUGAGAGUCAUAUGUUGAAGGACACAUGUGAUUCCUCGGGGCAGAGCCGGACUUUGAGCUGAGCUGUCCAGUGACAUGGACUAAUCCACUCUGCCACAGGCCUGAGGGGAACAUCCCACGCAGGGGGAGACAGAGGCAUUCCCCCCCCCCUUCCUGCCCAUAUGAUCAACGAUGAAGCACAGGCCAACUGGACCAGGACAACGUGAGCAGAAUCUGGCAUGGGCACACGGGGCUCAAAUGAAAACAAAGUGUCACAGCCUGUACAUCUAUUGCAAAAUCCUGAAGCCUCAUCUUGAAAUAAGUAAGACUUUAAUCUUGUUAAAGGUGCCCUCCAUAUGUGUAUGUAUAUAUUUUAACAAGGAUGUAGGUAGGCCCUCUAUUCUAUGAUGAUUUAGCCUUGUGAUAAUGUUAACCUCAUCUGAUCUUUAACCGUGUCCAUUUUGUUAUUCAUCUGCUUUUGCAGCUCCUGUGAACUUGCGCAUUAGCAUAUCUUGCUACCCCUGCACGUCCCAGACACUGACUUAGAAUUACAAAUGUGCUGUUGAGAGGCCAUUCGAAUUUCCAAGGAACUGUAUUGAGACUAGUGUGACAUAUAGUAUAUAACAAAGAAGUGUAUACAUGAUUUUGCUGUUAUACUCCACAAACACACAAACAGAUGUGCAUCACUGGAGUAACUUGAUUAAGGCAUGAUGGUAUAAUUGGUCUCAUUUGGUCUCACAAACACACACACACACACACACACACACACACACGCGCACACACACACACACAGUACACACACACACACGACAACAGGCACUUUUCUGCUUAGAUGCCAAAUGCAUUUUGUUGUGUCUGUACUUGUACUCCAGAUUGUCUGCAUGCCUAGUUAAUUCUCCUCUUUAGCUCACCCUGGGUUUUUAUGGAUUUCAGACCAAAGGGACAGAGAUGACCAUGACAGAAGCUUGAUUUUAUGUUCAGUUAGCUAUUUUUGUGUUGAUCUGGACAGUUGACCUGCUGGAUGAUCCGAUCAUGACCCACUUUCAGUGUCUUG